rnacentral:SRP_RNA from 2 species
GCCGGGCAUGGUGGCGCGUGCCUGUAAUCCCAGCUACUCGGGAGGCUGAGACAGGAGAAUUGCUUGAACCCAGGAGGCGGAGGUUGCAGUGAGCAGAGAUUGCACUGUUGCACUCCAGCCUGGGAGACAGAGCAAGACUCCGUCUCAA